rnacentral:rRNA from 1 species
GACGUAGGGCGCGAGCGUUGUCCGGAUUUAUUGGGCGUAAAGAGCUCGUAGGCGGCUUGUCGCGUCGUUCGUGAAAACCUGCGGCUCAACUGCAGGCUUGCGGUCGAUACGGGCAGGCUGGAGUUCGGUAGGGGAGACUGGAAUUCCUGGUGUAGCGGUGAAAUGCGUAGAUAUCUGGAGGAACACCGGUGGCGAAGGCGGCAUCCUGGACCGGCAUUGACGCUGAGGCGCGAAAGCCAGGGGAGCAAACGGG